rnacentral:rRNA from 1 species
ACUCCUACGGGAGGCAGCAGUGGGGAAUAUUGCACAAUGGGCGCAAGCCUGAUGCAGCCAUGCCGCGUGUAUGAAGAAGGCCUUCGGGUUGUAAAGUACUUUCAGCGGGGAGGAAGGCGAUAAGGUUAAUAACCUUGUCGAUUGACGUUACCCGCAGAAGAAGCACCGGCUAACUCCGUGCCAGCAGCCGCGGUAAUACGGAGGGUGCAAGCGUUAAUCGGAAUUACUGGGCGUAAAGCGCACGCAGGCGGUCUGUCAAGUCGGAUGUGAAAUCCCCGGGCUCAACCUGGGAACUGCAUUCGAAACUGGCAGGCUAGAGUCUUGUAGAGGGGGGUAGAAUUCCAGGUGUAGCGGUGAAAUGCGUAGAGAUCUGGAGGAAUACCGGUGGCGAAGGCGGCCCCCUGGACAAAGACUGACGCUCAGGUGCGAAAGCGUGGGGAGCAAACAGGAUUAGAUACCCCUGUAGUCCC